rnacentral:rRNA from 1 species
UCUUCGGACGCUGACGAGUGGAGAACGGGUGAGUAAUACAUCGCGAACGUGCCCAGUCGUGGGGGAUAACUACUCGAAAGAGUAGCUAAUACCGCAUACGAUCUGAGGAUGAAAGCGGGGGACCUUCGGGCCUCGCGCGAUUGGAGCGGCCGAUGGCAGAUUAGGUAGUUGGUGGGAUAAAAGCUUACCAAGCCGACGAUCUGUAGCUGGUCUGAGAGGACGACCAGCCACACUGGGACUGAGACACGGCCCAGACUCCUACGGGAGGCAGCAGUGGGGAAUUUUGGACAAUGGGCGAAAGCCUGAUCCAGCAAUGCCGCGUGCAGGAUGAAGGCCUUCGGGUUGUAAACUGCUUUUGUACGGAACGAAAAAGCUCCUUCUAAUACAGGGGGCCCAUGACGGUACCGUAAGAAUAAGCACCGGCUAACUACGUGC